GACCGGCAGCAACUGGUCCACCGGGAUUCCGCCUAUUUUGUGGGGAACCAUCCGGAGGCGCGGAGCGGAACCGGUCCCGGCAGGGGAUGGAGAAGCCGGAGGUGCCGCGCACACGGCGCUCUCCGCUGCCAACCCCUGUCCAGUGCAGGAUGACGUGGCUGGCAGCCUGCCUGGGCCUGUGGCUCUUCCUGCAGCUCCCCACCUUGGGCGCUGGGACACGCGUGGUCUACAAAGUGCAGGAGGAACAGCCGCCCAACACACUCAUUGGGAGCUUGGCUGCCGACUACGGCUUUCCUGACGUGGGGCACCUCUAUAAACUGGAAGUGGGGGCUCCCUACCUGCGUGUGGAUGGCAAGACAGGGGACAUUUACACCACGGAGACCUCCAUCGACCGGGAGAGCCUGCGGGAGUGCCAGAGCCAGUUCCCAGGGGAACUCUGCUUCCUGGAGUUCGAGGUGUCCAUCACGGACCUGAUGAUGAACAGCAGCCCGCGCCUGCUGGAAGGGCAGAUUGAGGUUCUGGACAUCAAUGACAACACGCCCAACUUCGCCUCGCCCGUCAUCACACUGGCCAUUCCCGAGAACACCAACAUUGGGGCACUCUUCCCAAUCCCCCCAGCCAUGGACCGUGACGCAGGCGCCAACGGGGUUGCCUCCUAUGAGCUCCUGGCUGGGCCCGAGGCGCAGGAGCUCUUCGGCCUGCAGGUGGCUGAGGAUCAGGAUGAGAAGCAGCCGCAGCUGAUUGUCAUGGGGAACUUGGACCGGGAGCAGUGGGACUCCUAUGACCUGACCAUCAAAGUGCAGGAUGGAGGCAGCCCACCACGGGCGAGCAGCGCCCUGCUGCGUAUCACCAUCCUGGACAUGAAUGACAACACCCCCAAGUUCGAGAAGGCCCUGUAUGAGGCGGAGCUCUCAGAGAACAGCCCCGUGGGGCACUCCGUCCUCCAGGUGAAAGCCAACGACUCGGAUCAGGGUGCCAAUGCCGAGAUUGACUACUCAUUCCACCAGCCUACAGACAUGGUGCGUCGCCUGCUGCGCCUGGACAGGACCACGGGCCUCAUCACUGUGCAGGGGCCCAUUGACCGGGAGGACGUCAAUAUCCUCAAGUUCUCUGUCCUGGCCAAGGACAAGGGGGCCAAUCCCAAGAGUGCCCGCACCCAGGUGGUGGUGACCAUCAAGGACAUGAAUGACAACGCCCCCUCCAUUGAAAUCCGGGGUAUUGGCCUCGUCACCCAUCAGGACGGCAUGGCCAACAUCUCCGAGGACGUGCCCGUGGAGACGGCCGUGGCUCUGGUACAGGUGUCUGACCGGGAUGAGGGUGAGAACGCUGUGGUCACCUGUGUGGUUGCUGGCGAUGUCCCGUUCCAGCUGAGACAGGCCAGCGAGACAGGCAGUGACAGCAAGAAGAAGUACUUCUUGCAGACCACCACGCCGUUGGACUACGAGGCGGUGAAGGAGUACACCAUCGAAAUCGUGGCUGUGGAUUCGGGGAACCCACCCCUCUCCAGUACCAACUCCCUCAAGGUGCAGGUGGUGGAUGUGAACGACAACGCCCCAGUCUUCAGCCAAAGCCUCACUGAGGUGGCCUUCCCCGAGAACAAUGCCCCUGAUGACCUGGUGGUGGAGGUGAGCGCCAGUGAUGCUGACAGUGGCUCCAAUGCCAAGCUGGUUUACUCCCUGGUCAUGGACCCCUCCUCCAAGGGCUUCUUCUCCAUCGACCCUGACUCAGGCGAGAUCCGAGUGAAGACGGUGCUGGACCGGGAGCAGAGGGAGCGCUAUGAGUUCCUGGUGGUGGCAGCUGACAAGGGCAGCCCCAGUCUCAAGGGCACGGCAUCUGUGGCCAUCAAUGUCAUGGACAGGAAUGACAACGACCCCAAGUUUAUGCUGAGCAGCUACAACUUCUCAGUGAUGGAGAACAUGCCUCCCCUGAGCCCGGUGGGCAUGGUGACAGUGAUUGACGCUGACAAGGGCGACAACGCCCGAAUCCAGCUGUCAGUGGAGCAGGACAAUGGGGACUUUGUCAUUCAGAAUGGCACUGGCACCAUACUCUCCAGCAUCUCCUUUGACCGGGAGCAGCAGAGCACGUACACCUUUCGGCUCAAAGCUGUGGAUGGAGGGGACCCUCCCAGAUCCGCCUACGUGGGGGUGACCAUCAACGUGCUGGACGAGAAUGACAAUGCCCCUUUCAUCACCUCCCCUUCCAAUGCCUCUUACAAGCACAUCCUGCCCCACACCAGCCCCGGGCAGCAGGUCAGCAAGGUCAAGGCUGAGGACAUUGACUCGGGAGUCAAUGCAGAGCUGACCUACAGCAUCACGGGGGGCAACCCCUUCGAGCUGUUCCAGAUCUCACCGCAGAGCGGGGACAUCACGCUGGAGAAGGAGAUCCUGCGUAAGCACCACGGCCUGCACCGCCUGGUGGUGCGUGUCAACGACAGGGGCAAGCCCUCGCGCCAUGGCACCGCGCUGGUGCACUUCUACGUCAAUGAGACCCUGGCCAACCGCACGCUGCUGGAGACCCUGCUGGGACACAGCCUGGACACGCCGCUGGACAUCGACAUUGCUGGCGACCCCGAGUACGAGCGCAGCAAGCAGCGCAGCAACAUCCUCUUCGGCGUCAUUGCUGGCAUCGUGGCUGUCACCCUGGUUAUUGUGCUGGUGGUGCUGGUGCGCUACUGCCGGCAGAGGGAGGCCAAGAGCGGCUACCAGGCGGGCAAGAAGGAGACCAAGGACCUGUACGCCCCCAAUCAGGGCAACAAGAGCAGCAAGAGUAAGAGCAAAGUGAAGAAGAGCAAGUCCCCCAAGCCGCCCAAACCGGCCGAUGACGAGGAGGAGACUGGGCUGCAGAAGUCCCUCAAGUUCAACCUCAUGAAUGACUCCGUCAGUGACAGCCCCCGCAUCCACCUGCCUCUCAACUACCCACCUGGGAGCCCGGAUCUGGGACGCCACUACCGCUCCAACUCCCCACUGCCCUCCAUCCAGUUGCAGCCCCAGUCGCCCUCUGCCUCUAAGAAGCACCAGGUGGUGCAGGACCUGCCUGCCACUAACACCUUUGUGGGCACUGGGGACAACAACUCGACAGGCUCCGAGCAGUACUCUGACUACAGCUACCGCACCAACCCCCAGAAAUACACCAACAAGCAGUUACCUCAUCGCCGAGUGACAUUCUCUGCAGCUAAUCAGGCACAGGACUUGCAGGACCCCUCACAACAUAGUUACUAUGACAGCGGGCUAGAAGAGUCAGAAACUCCCAGCAGCAAGUCAUCAUCAGGGCCCCGAAUUGGGCCACUAGCUCUGCCUGAGGAUCAUUAUGAGCGCACCACACCCGAUGGUAGUAUUGGGGAGAUGGAGCACCCUGAAAACGGAGACUGUUCAAAGCCUAAGAGAUCUGAUGGGCGGAUGAUCAUCUUUUGAGAUCUCUUCUGCUGGAAGGCAAAGUGCAUAGUAGCUGUGUCUUUUCUUCUGUGGCUGCCUUUCUGGAAGAUGCUUUAGUCAAACACAAGUUACUGGGCCCAGUACAGGAAUGAAUGGGUGAAGUUCUGUGGCC